CCUACGGGAGGCAGCAGUGGGGGAUAUUGGACAAUGGGGGAAACCCUGAUCCAGCGACGCCGCGUGAGUGAAGAAGUCUCUCGGUAUGUAAAGCUCUAUUAGCAGGGAAGAAAGCAAUGAUGGUGCCUGAGUAAGAAGCCUCGGCUAACUACGUGCCAGCAGCCGCGGUAAUACGUAGGGGGCAAGCGUUAUCCGGAAUUACUGGGUGUAAAGGGAGCGUAGACGGUAAUGCAAGUCUGGAGUGAAAGGCGGGGGCCCAACCCCCGGACUGCUCUGGAAACUGUGUAACUGGAGUGCAGGAGAGGCAGGCGGAAUUCCUAGUGUAGCGGUGAAAUGCGUAGAGAUUAGAAAGAACACCGGUGGCGAAGGCAGCCUACUAGACUGUAUCUGACGUUGAGGCUCGAAAGCGUGGGGAGCAAACAGGAUUAGAUACCCUUGUAGUC
rnacentral:rRNA from 1 species